rnacentral:tRNA from 1 species
AGGGUAAUAGCUCAAUGUAGAGUGCAUGCUUAACAUACACAAAGUCCUGGGUUCAAUCCCCAGUACCUCUA